rnacentral:ncRNA from 1 species
UUACACAUAAAGGGGAGUCCGCUGCUUCGCGGGCUGAGAGGGAGUCGAAAGGCUCCGACCCAUGACCUGAUUUGGAUCAUGCCAACGUAGGGAAAUACCGCGUGCUUUUGC